GAUUAACGCUGGCGGCGUGCAUAACACAUGCAAGUCGAACGAUGAAACUUAAAUGAUUUCUUCGGAAUGAACUUAAGUGGAUUAGUGGCGGACGGGUGAGUAACGCGUGAGUAACCUGCCUUACACAAGGGGAUAGCCGUUGGAAACGACGAAUAAUACCCUAUGAAACUAUCACUUCGCAUGAAGCGAUAGUCAAAGUGUUAGCGGUGUAAGAUGGACUUGCGUCUGAUUAGCUAGUUGGUGAGAAAAAAGCCCACCAAGGCAACGAUCAGUAGCCGGCUGGAGAGAGUGUACGGCCACAUUGGGACUGAGACACGGCCCAGACUCCUACGGGAGGCAGCAGUGGGGAAUUUUGCACAAUGGGGGAAACCCUGAUGCAGCGACGCCGCGUGAUUUAGAAGGCCUUCGGGUUGUAAAAAUCUUUUGUAUAGGAAGAAAAUGACAGUACUAUACGAAUAAGGUCCGGCUAAUUACGUG
rnacentral:rRNA from 1 species